rnacentral:rRNA from 1 species
GGUAGUCCACGCCGUAAACAAUGUCGACUUGGAGGUUGUGCCCUUGAGGCGUGGCUUCCGGAGCUAACGCGUUAAGUCGACCGCCUGGGGAGUACGGCCGCAAGGUUAAAACUCAAAUGAAUUGACGGGGGCCCGCACAGGCGGUGGAGCAUGUGGUUUAAUUCGAUGCAACGCGAAGAACCUUACCUACUCUUGACAUCCAGAGAACUUAGCAGAGAUGCUUUGGUGCCUUCGGGAACUCUGAGACAGGUGCUGCAUGGCUGUCGUCAGCUCGUGUUGUGAAAUGUUGGGUUAAGUCCCGCAACGAGCGCAACCCUUAUCCUUUGUUGCCAGCGGUUAGGCCGGGAACUCAAAGGAGACUGCCAGUGAUAAACUGGAGGAAGGUGGGGAUGACGUCAAGUCAUCAUGGCCCUUACGAGUAGGGCUACACACGUGCUACAAUGGCGCAUACAAAGAGAAGCGACCUCGCGAGAGCAAGCGGACCUCAUAAAGUGCGUCGUAGUCCGGAUUGGAGUCUGCAACUCGACUCCAUGAAGUCGGAAUCGCUAGUAAUCGUAGAUCAGAAUGCUACGGUGAAUACGUUCCCGGGCCUUGUACACACCGCCCGUCACACCAUGGGAGUGGGUUGCAAAAGAAGUAGGUAGCUUAACCUUCGGGAGGGCGCUUACCACUUUGUGAUUCAUGACUGGGGUGAAGUCGUAACAAGGUAACCGUAGGGGAACCCUGC